GUAGGGAAUAUUGGGCAAUGGUCGGAAGACUGACCCAGCCAUGCCGCGUGCAGGAAGACGGCCCUCUGGGUUGUAAACUGCUUUUAUCUGGGAAGAAAAAGGCCAUGCGUGGCAAAUUGCCGGUACCAGAUGAAUAAGCACCGGCUAACUCCGUGCCAGCAGCCGCGGUAAUACGGAGGGUGCGAGCGUUGUCCGGAUUUAUUGGGUUUACAGGGUGCGUAGGCGGCUGAUUAAGUCAGCGGUGAAAGACUUCGGCUUAACCGGAGCAGUGCCGUUGAUACUGGUUGGCUUGAGUGUCGGAGGGGUACAUGGAAUUGAUGGUGUAGCGGUGAAAUGCAUAGAUACCAUCAGGAACACCGAUAGCGAAGGCAUUGUACUGGCCGACAACUGACGCUGAUGCACGAAAGUGUGGGGAUCGAACAGGAUUAGAUACCCCGGUAGUCC
rnacentral:rRNA from 1 species